rnacentral:ncRNA from 1 species
CGAUGGCCCUCGCGGGUGUUGACGCAAUGUGAUUUUCUGCCCAGUGCUCUGAAUGUCAACGUGAAGAAAUUCAAGCAAGCGCGGGUAAACGGCGGGAGUAACUAUGACUCUCUUAAGGGGUCAGCCUCCUCAGCCCUUGAUACCCACUUUGUGGAUUCUUUGGGCUGGGGAUCAAGGCCCCCCUUAUAGAGAGUCGUAGUUGGGACACGAUGCGCAACGUAUAGCCUCUCGUGUCCAAGUCACACAGCUACCUCCUCGUGGUACUCCUGGUAACGUCUUCGGACGGCCAAAUGCUGCUGUGGCGAUCCGGGUCAUUGGGGUUGCCAGCCCCUCUGGCU